rnacentral:lncRNA from 1 species
ACAGACCCCCGGAUGCAGCUGCGGCGGAAGGCGCGUCCUGUUGGCUACUCCCGGUUUUCCUCUGCGUUUCUCCGCCUCGGAGACGCCGCAGUAAUAACGGGCCCACCAGCUACUGACGAGCUCACUCAGAGAUGCUUUACUUGCGCACACCUAACUAAUUGCCCUGUAAGGACGAUAGCUGUGAGUAGGCCUUGUACCUGUGGAACCAAGGAAACGUCUGCUGAAUUCAGAAAUUCAGAAGCUGGAUCCUGCCCUCUGGCCCUCUGGGACUGAGGAAUUGUACCUUAGGGGUGCACACCUUGGAGAAAGCACACACCUCCAGUUUGUUGGACAGCAGGAUCAAAAACCAACCCACCAACACCUUAAAAACAUAUGUAUUUAUUUUAUGGAGGCAUCCUCUGAUCUUUGGUUCCGGUGUAACCAAUAUGCCGGAGACGUUGCAACCCCAGGAGAACACUGUUUUCUAAGACCCUGUCUAAGGAUGCUUCUUGGUAGCUCACAGUAUCACAUUGGCUCCUGGCUCUGGGCAGGGCAGGAAGCAGUACAGUAAAGGAGGCAGAAGAGGUUCUAUCCAAGGUCCCUACUAUCCUUUUUAUGCCUUCAAUGGUGGAUGUCUUCACCAGGCUGGGAUAUGCCUGAAGCUGCUGCAAGUCAAAGGUCCGAAGGGCAGGGAACAAGUGUAAAACAGAACUUGCGUCCCAAAGCUACACGUUAACUAUACAUACCCAAAUAAAAUUGCUUCUCCACAG